rnacentral:lncRNA from 1 species
AGCCAUAACCCCUUUGAGAUCACUUCAUAUCCAGCUCCCAGCCGAAUCCAUCAGCCUUCAUCCCAUCCGCGUUCAAAGCCUCUACUCAUCUCACGAUUCCAUCCCAGCUUAUCCCAACUGGAUUCCCAACUCUCAUCCUCAUCUGGAUUAUCUCCCAGCCGAGAUCCUCUCAAUCCAACGCCCGAGCUGCCGAAUCCCAUGGAUCACCUCCCUUGUUUUAGUUUCAAAAUAAAGCCAAUCUCCCAUGGCAUAGCUUCCGAUCUAUCUUCCCAGAUUUCACGGAAAUAGAACAGAGCAAGGGAGCUUGAACUCUAGCAUUUACGGGAUAAAC